rnacentral:rRNA from 1 species
UACGGGGGGGGCAAGCGUUGUUCGGAAUUACUGGGCGUAAAGGGCUCGUAGGCGGCCAACUAAGUCCGACGUGAAAUCCCAAGGCUUAACCUUGGAACUGCGUCGGAUACUGGAUGGCUUGAAUUCGGGAGAGGGAUGCAGAAUUCCAGGUGUAGCGGUGAAAUGCGUAGAUAUCUGGAGGAAUACCGGUGGCGAAGGCGGCAUCCUGGACCGACAUUGACGCUGAGGAGCGAAAGCUAGGUUAGCAAACGGG